UACAUAUAUAAAUUAUGAUUAUAUAGAUCAUGGUUGUGCCUUUUCCACCUGCUUACCAUUUCAUUUGUAUUCAUGUUGACACAUAUUUUCUGGUGGAUGUUUAAUUUUCUUGUAUAGGUUUCAAAAUCUGAUGUUAAGGCUGGUAUGAAAGUUCUAAACUUUGCAAUAUAUAUAUAUAUAUAUAUAUGAAGACCUUACUGAGAUAGAGAAGCACAAGCAAGAAAGAACAAAAGAGAGCAAUUGCAGAACAGAAGUCAUCCAAGUGAAAAUCGUAGAUCUGAAAGUGGUACAGCUGGUAUAGAAGAUUUAAGAGCCAGUGCCAUGGAAAUAGAUGAUCCUGCUGUCCAAUCCGCUUCUGCUAUAUCUUCAGAAAGAAUUAAAGCAUUUAAAUAUUUAUUUGGUGAGCAUAUGCGUUUGAAUCGCUUGGAAUGGAUUUCUAUUGAGGAUAUAGAGAAGGUUGUCAACUCUAGAGCCUAUGUUUGCUUCUCAAGAGCAGAGAUAACAAUCCUAUUAGAGGUAAAGUAGUGUUGCUUAUUUUAUAAAUGCAAUAAAUGAAUUUUAGUGGCUCUUCUAGUCUUGAAGUUUUCAGAUAAAAUAAUCGUGUUUCUUUUGUUUUCCUGCUUAUAUUCUUGAGUUUGGGUAUGCUGCUAGGUAGUACUUUUGUAUUUUAUUGGUAACUUAACUGGAAUUUUUCUCUUUUCAGUUGCUGCAAAGUGAUAACAUAGUUUCGGUAAAUAAUGAAAAGGAUGCAUAUGAUUAUCUGUAUGAAUGCCCAUCUCCAAUGGCUAAAUCUGGGAGAUGUAUUUUAAGUUGUAUAUACUUUUUAUUGUCAUCCAGACAUGGCUUAGAUGCAUUCGUUGCUAAACUGAACUCUUUGAGCAAAACUGUUGCAUACUACAUUUUUGCA